rnacentral:rRNA from 1 species
GAUGAACGCUGGCGGCGCGCCUAACACAUGCAAGUCGAACGAUUAAAGCACCUUCGGGUGUGUAUAAAGUGGCGAACGGCUGAGUAACACGUGGGCAACCUGCCCCUUUCAUUGGGAUAGCCACGGGAAACCGUGGAUAAUACCGAAUACUUCGAGACUUCCGCAUGGAAGACUCGAGAAAGCUCCGGCGGAGAGGGAUGGGCCCGCGGCCUGUUAGCUUGUUGGUGGGGUAACGGCCUACCAAGGCAAUGAUGCGUAGCUGGGUUGAGAGACCGACCAGCCAGAUUGGGACUGAGACACGGCCCAGACUCCUACGGGAGGCAGCAGUGGGGAAUCUUGCACAAUGGGCGAAAGCCUGAUGCAGCGACGCCGCGUGCGGGAUGAAGGCCUUCGGGUUGUAAACCGCUUUCAGCGGGGACGAGGCGAAAGUGACGGUACCUGCAGAAGAAGCCCCGGCUAACUACGUG